AACGAACGCUGGCGGCAUGCCUAACACAUGCAAGUCGAACGAGACCUUCGGGUCUAGUGGCGCACGGGUGCGUAACGCGUGGGAACCUGCCUUUAGGUUCGGAAUAACUCGGAGAAAUUUGAGCUAAUACCGGAUAAUGUCUUCGGACCAAAGAUUUAUCGCCUUUAGAUGGGCCCGCGUAAGAUUAGCUAGUUGGUGGGGUAAAGGCUCACCAAGGCGACGAUCAGUAGCUGGUCUGAGAGGACGACCAGCCACACUGGGACUGAGACACGGCCCAGACUCCUACGGGAGGCAGCAGUGGGGAAUUUUGGACAAUGGGGGCAACCCUGAUCCAGCAAUGCCGCGUGAGUGAAGAAGGCC
rnacentral:rRNA from 1 species